rnacentral:ncRNA from 1 species
AGACAUACGAUGAUAUGGUAAGUAGGUUGAUUUUUAUUUUUUACAGAGAACCUCGAUUAGCUGAGAAGAGGAAAAAUGAUGUAACUGAAAAUGGCCAUUGAGUAAUUUGGAUUCGAGCAAAACAUUGUAAGAAUGCAACGAGCGCAACCGUUAACUUGCUAGAGUAUGAUAGUACUUGAUAAGGAUUAAUUUGUGAGAAUUAGUCAAAUUAGAGGUGGUAACACGCACAAGCGUCCUCAAG